rnacentral:rRNA from 1 species
AGAGUUUGAUCCUGGCUCAGGAUGAACGCUGGCGGCGUGCAUAACACAUUCAAGUCGAACGGGGUAAAGUGCUCCGGUACUUUACCAAGUGGCGGACGGGUGAGUAACGCGUGAGCAACCUGCCCCUAUGUUCGGGAUACCAACCGGAAACAGUUGUUAAUACCGAAUGACAUAACGGGAUUGCAUGGUCCUGUUAUCAAAGAUUUAUUGCAUAGGGAUGGGCUCGCGUCUGAUUAGGCAGUUGGUGAGGUAACGGCUCACCAAACCGACGAUCAGUAGCCGGACUGAGAGGUUGAACGGCCACAUUGGAACUGAGAUACGGUCCAGACUCCUACGGGAGGCAGCAGUGGGGAAUAUUGCACAAUGGGGGAAACCCUGAUGCAGCGACGCCGCGUGGAGGAAGAAGGUCUUCGGAUUGUAAACUCCUGUUGUUGAGGAAGAUAAUGACGGUACUCAACAAGGAAGUGACGGCUAACUACGUGCCAGCAGCCGCGGUAAAACGUAGGUCACAAGCGUUGUCCGGAAUUACUGGGUGUAAAGGGAGCGCAGGCGGGAAGACAAGUUGGAAGUGAAAUCUAUGGGCUCAACCCAUAAACUGCUUUCAAAACUGUUUUUCUUGAGUAGUGCAGAGGUAGGCGGAAUUCCCGGUGUAGCGGUGGAAUGCGUAGAUAUCGGGAGGAACACCAGUGGCGAAGGCGGCCUACUGGGCACCAACUGACGCUGAGGCUCGAAAGUGUGGGUAGCAAACAGGAUUAGAUACCCUGGUAGUCCACACCGUAAACGAUGAUUACUAGGUGUUGGAGGAUUGACCCCUUCAGUGCCGCAGUUAACACAAUAAGUAAUCCACCUGGGGAGUACGACCGCAAGGUUGAAACUCAAAGGAAUUGACGGGGGCCCGCACAAGCAGUGGAGUAUGUGGUUUAAUUCGACGCAACGCGAAGAACCUUACCAAGUCUUGACAUCCUGCGACGAUGCUGGAAACAGUAUUUUCCUUCGGGACGCAGAGACAGGUGGUGCAUGGUUGUCGUCAGCUCGUGUCGUGAGAUGUUGGGUUAAGUCCCGCAACGAGCGCAACCCUUACUGUCAGUUACUACGCAAGAGGACUCUGGCAGGACUGCCGUUGACAAAACGGAAGAAGGUGGGGACGACGUCAAAUCAUCAUGCCCCUUAUGUCCUGGGCUACACGCGUGCUACAAUGGCUAAGACAAAGGGAAGCGAAGCCGCGAGGCGGAGCCAACCCCAUAAAAGUCGUCCCAGUUCGGACUGCGGCUGCAACCCGCCUGCACGAAGUUGGAAUUGCUAGUAAUCGCGGAUCAGCAUGCCGCGGUGAAUACGUUCCC